GGAAACGUGGCUGAGCGGUUGAAGGCUCCGGUCUUGAAAACCGGCGACGGGAAACUGUCCGUGAGUUCGAAUCUCACCGUUUCCGCCA
rnacentral:tRNA from 1 species